rnacentral:rRNA from 1 species
AUUGAACGCUGGCGGCAGGCCUAACACAUGCAAGUCGAGCGGAUGAAGGGAGCUUGCUCCUGGAUUCAGCGGCGGACGGGUGAGUAAUGCCUAGGAAUCUGCCUGGUAGUGGGGGAUAACGUCCGGAAACGGGCGCUAAUACCGCAUACGUCCUGAGGGAGAAAGUGGGGGAUCUUCGGACCUCACGCGAUCAGCUGAGCCUAGGUCGGAUUAGCUAGUUGGUGGGGUAAAGGCCUACCAAGGCGACGAUCCGUAACUGGUCUGAGAGGAUGAUCAGUCACACUGGAACUGAGACACGGUCCAGACUCCUACGGGAGGCAGCAGUGGGGAAUAUUGGACAAUGGGCGAAAGCCUGAUCCAGCCAUGCCGCGUGUGUGAAGAAGGUCUUCGGAUUGUAAAGCACUUUAAGUUGGGAGGAAGGGCAGUAAGUUAAUACCUUGCUGUUUUGACGUUACCAACAGAAUAAGCACCGGCUAACUUCGUG